rnacentral:tRNA from 1 species
GGAGGCGUCGCAUAGCCCGGUCAAUUGCGAGGGUUUGCUAAACCCUUGAGCCGUAAGGCUCGCGUGGGUUCGAAUCCCACCGCCUCCG